AACGUAGGAGACAACCGUUAUCCGGAGUUACUGGGCGUAAAGGACGUGUAGGUGGUUUCGUAAGUCUGGCGUGAAAUUUUUCGGCUUAACCGGGAAAGGUCGUCGGAUACUGCGGAACUAGAGGACGGUAGAGGCGUGUGGAAUUCCGGGUGUAGUGGUGAAAUGCGUAGAGAUCCGGAGGAACACCAGUGGCGAAGGCGACACGCUGGGCCGUACCUGACACUGAUGCGCGACAGCAUGGGGAGCAAACAGG
rnacentral:rRNA from 1 species